rnacentral:lncRNA from 1 species
CCUACUCCCUCCUCCUCUCCACCAACAGGUAAGCAUUUAUCAGCUUGCCAAUGAUAUAAUAAUGAUGUUAACAUGGGCAAGAGGUCCUGGGAAACCUCUGCCUUACUAAUAAUGUCAAAUAAAGUGGAAAAGGAAAGCACGCUGACCUCAUUGAGGACGGACGCAGAGGCCAAGACCUCCAUUCUCAAGCCACGUGCACACAGAUGGCAGCGCUCUUCCAGGUUUUCCAGCCUGCUUGGAAAGAACAACUCUUCCUCCCACAAGAGGGAAAAUGCACUACGAGUGGACUUCAACACAUGAGGAAGCAUUUGGGAUGGGAGACCAUGAGAUGGUCCAAAGCUUCCUACCGAAUUCCUGGCCUCGGUCUCAAGACCUGCUUUGGAUGGACACAUGAUCCAUGGAGAAGGAUGUCAUGGUUUGGACUCAUGAUGAGCCAUCAUUGUGUUCAACUUCAGAUUCAGCUGUAAAAGGGAAUCAAGCUGAUUCUGUCAGUAGCCUCUUCUCACUGGAGUGGGUCAUCUCCAGAAAGUUCCACCAGCUGAAUGGACCAACGGUGGCAAAAGCUAUUGCUAGUUAGACGUUUGCCGUGAAAACUGGCUUAUGAUGGAGCAAUUGCUGUGCUGGAGGCUUUGUGGUUCCAGCUUCUAAUGAGACAAAAUUGCUUUGCUUAAUUAUAUUAUAUUACAUCGGUGGGAACUUGGGACAUGCUUCAGGUGGCUAGAAAGCAGGCCUGGAACUUUAAGCAACAAAUGCUUGGAUGAACUCAAGCAUUCUGGGUUUUCCUGUGCCUAAUAUGUUACAUUGCUAUGUUGAUAUGUAAUGUCACAGAUGGUAAUAUUAGUCAUGAAAGAACAAAGAAGCCAAGUUCAUAGCCAAAGGAAAGUUAAAAGGGGGGGACAAAAAGUGAACUUACCCUACAAACAGGUUUUUCUUAUUGAAAACAUCUUAAACACCAUCGGACACCUUCUCAAGAUCCAUGUGUUGGCACAAGCAGAUGGGGAAGACUAUAAAUCUCGGAAACUGGCUUAGCUCCCACUCAAGAACUAAAGCAAGGAGUGUGGUGAAAUCAAAUUCAGCAAUGAAUGGAUGAUCCUAAUUUAACAAUGGGCAGCCUUCCCACAAAUUCUCAUGCAAACCAGUGGUGGCUUCCUCUUUUUUUAAUUAACUACACAGCCUUUCCAACCAGAAGAUUUAAAUGUUUACUUCUGUUUGCUUUGCGUCAUUUGCAUUUCUUUCGAUUCUAAAAGCAAAUUAACCCCUUAGGCCUAGGGGGGCAUCCUUUUGAAGAAGCAGAAAAAAUUGGAAAAAAAAAAAUUAGGAAGUGAAACUCUCUACUCACUGCAGGUCUUCCCAUCUGACUCAAUAAGAUGGCUAGUAUUUUGAAUGACAACAAUGGCAGAGCAAUUUAUAUGCAAUGGACAGUGUUUCCUUGGGAAACUGGGAGGUAGAGAGCAAAAUCUAGAUUCAAAUAAUGCUGCUUUUACAAAAAAAAAAAAAAAAAAGAAAAGAAAAAGAAAAACCCAGAAAGAAAAAAAAAUUCCUUACAUUCCUAAGAAGGAAGAGCAGAUGAGCUAUUGAGGCAUGUCAAGCAAUGUGAAAGGUAAAUUCCUUCUUUGCUUGAGAAAUCGCACUGAAUUCUUCUCCCCCUCAUCCUUCAGAUGAAAUGUAGGAGGUACAGAGACAAGAGGACUAUUUCACCUACUCAGUAUGCCUCUUGUCGCUGCCUUCUCCUAGGCUUGAGCACCUGGGUUAUGACGAAGAGGGGCCCUGUAGCUGAGCCUGACUCCACGAGCUAUAUUUGGAGGCUGCAGAGACAGAGAAGGGCUGGCUUGGGUACUCUAAAUGGUUGUAGUACAGGAUAAUUAGAUGGAAUUGUACACGGAAAAAAUUUGUUAGAGUUACCAAAAAUAUUUCCUAACGAGAAGCCUGUUGUGCUCUGAAGUAGUCAAAGGGAUGCAAUGAAUAUUUCAUCUCUUGAAACAUUUAACAGAGAAAGGGAUGCAGGAAUAGAAAGUGUAUCUUGGAGCUAUUUUCUGUGGGGUAAGAGUGGAGAUCAUCCAUCUUCCUGGCCUUUAUUUCUGCUCACCCAAUAGGGCGGAGGGAAUGGCGGGCCUGGACACCAGAAACCACAUCAUCAGAAGAGAUCGAAUCUUCAGAUAUGAAGAGUUGGAGAGGAAUCUUAUUUCUAUGUCUUCUGUAGUGAAAAAACAAGCGUUCUUGACUUUUUCUGCUACUUACUUUCCUUUAGUAGAUCUACUGCAUUCUACUGCGAAUGCUAAAGGUAUUUCUAGUUCUAGGAAAAUAAGCAGUACAUUUUUGGUUGAUUGAUAGUGAGUGCAGAUAAUUUAUGGAACACAAAGGAACAGCACUCACGAAAUUUCGAGAAUGAAAGUGAUUAGGGUAUCUUUGGUCAUGAGAAAAGAAUUAUCUAAAGAGAAGGUACCAUCAUGGGGGAAGGAAGCAGGCCUCAGCUUGGUGAUCCAGGCCUGUACAACACCAAAACUCUCAGUUAGUUAAUGAGGUUUUAUACACGAUAUUUAUUUGACUGCAUGUUUCCUACAUUUAACUGGUUGUUGGGCUUGUGCUUUGACUCUCGGUGAUGUUCACUACCUGAAGACACAAUUAGCUCAGCUAUCUCUGGUGGUAUUACAGAGGACUUUUCAAACUGGGAUGUGCCUAGGAUCACCUAUAGAGAUUUUGGCAAAUUACGUACUCUGAUUCCGUAAAUCUGGGAAUGGGGACUGAGAUUCUGCAUUUCUAAUAAGCUUCCGUGUGAUGGCGAUGCUGCUAGUCCGUGGGCCACAUUUUCAACAAUGAGGUAUUGCAUCAUUGCCUGAUCUUAAUUCCACUUUCUUCCAUGGAUACAAACUAG